rnacentral:piRNA from 1 species
UAUGGUGUGAUUUUUUGUUGGGAACCA